CCGCUCUGGGUCGCCUGCAGACGCCAUUUUUCUUCUCGACUCUCCCUCCGUUGAAAACACAGCAGGCCUCAGAGCUGCGUCAAGCUAACGUCAGCUAGCAGUGGUUGAACCUGAAGUGAAGCGCUCUUUACUUCAAAGAGUUCGCUGAAGCAGAUCCGGAAGUCCUGCGUGUGUUCUCUAACUUGACGCAAGCAGGCCUGAGUGGAUACGAGGUCACGUGACUCACUAUUCUACAAUAGACGCAAUAGCCGUGCUAGUUCAUAAAAUUAGUUAUCCAUGCAAACGCUACCCGCCAGUAGUACUUUAUUAGUGUUUGCUACUUCUGGUGGAUGCUUUUAAUCACAGGCGGGCCGAAUAUAUUCUAUGGAAAACCAUCGUUCGUUUUCAGCCAUGUCGCCAUCGUCGUCACAGCAAAGCGAGACGAGAAGAUAAUACGUACGACACUGAGCUCUAUUACAUGGACAUAAAUAAGCCAUCAUUAAAGUUAAUACCGCACCUCCUUUUGCACGUGGGGCCUGCUGCAAUUUAUCUCUCAAAUAAAUGCAUUUCAUACAACUUUAAAA